CGUUUUUUUUACUUUGUGACACGAGUCCCCAUCCGAUUUGUCUCGCGCACGUGCUCUCUGCUUAAUUAAAAUUCAUUUCACGACGCUGCCUGAUUUGUUCUGCGCAUGUCGAAUGUUUUACGACGCACGUCACUCGUCGGGUUUGACUUGUACUUGUGAGUCAUUUUUGUGUUGUCGUUUAACUCUGUCUGUAAGUGGACUUGUUACUGGAAAAGAUGGCAACUUUUGAAUUUUAUAACGUCAUGGAAGAUGUGUCGCCUGAAAAAUUUAACUCCAGUCGAAUGAAGAGGGAGCGAAAUGAAAUGCGACGUGUGUCUGAACUUUAUAAUGGAUAUGUACAGCUUUUUGAUGCCCGGUGGUAACCAACCUUCCAUGUGGCUGAACAGAUGCCAGUGUACCUAAAUUCUGAGACACAAUUCGAUGUUCUUUUCUUCUGCUUUUAAGAUUCCCAAUUCGAGAUGAUGUGCAGUUCAUAUUAGAUUUGCUAUUUCUACAGGUAAGACUACUGAGGCUUCCAGUUUCAGAAGUAAUUUGUGCACAAUUCCUGCAAAGCCUCCCCAUAUUUAUUAUUUGAUCUGUAAUAUUUUACUGCCUUGAAUACUGUACUGUAUAUCUGCUUACUCUGUCCAGUAACUAACACAGCUUUUUAAUUUUAGACAGAAAGCCUCAGAGUGUGAAUCCUCGCAAACACAAAGACUGAGGCAUAUCAGUCCCAGCAGUCACUAAACAGGGAUGUUGUUCCGUUUUGCAAAAUAACAUUUAUUUUCUUACGUUACUGUACUUUGUUGUUGGAUUUUGAAAGAACCAAGACUUAAUUUUAAAUUAAAACAAAACUAAGGCAGGAGUGAAAAACGAAGAUGUUUUCAUGUAAGUAGUGACACCUGAGCACAACACAUUAGAAGUUCAGAUAUACAGAGAUUAUAACACAAUGUCUACUGUAUGCGUAAUAUAAAAGGAAAAAAAUGAUGCUACACAUAAGAACAGUUAAGUUGGGGUUCUUUUAAAAUCCAACAAAAAAACACAAUAAUUAAGAAUAAUAUUAUUAGUUAGACUUUACUCUAAGCAGACC